GCCCAGAGUAGUGUUGGAACGUUGUCUGCUGGUUGAGCUUGUGGGAAAAAGAUUGCUUGUGUGGCGUGCGUCUAGUUCGUGGUUCUUGGAAGUCAUUAGCGACUAGGAGUUGGAUGUUGGAUUCAUCACGUUCCAUAACCAGCUCUUAUCCAGGACCGGUGGAGGUGUAUGGACUGUUACGGUCUCCUGGCCAUAGAUCUAACAUACAGCGUUACAGAGGCUUGUUGGCUGCUGCUUUGCUGCGUUUGUCUGCUACCAUCUUGUGCUGCGUUCUCACGACGCAACGCUGCUUUAUUUGUGGGCUGCUUGUUGCUACACUGCUUGGCUCCACUGCUUGGUU
ensembl:lncRNA